rnacentral:rRNA from 1 species
GGGUCGUAAACCUCUUUUCUCAAGGAAGAAGAAAGUGACGGUACUUGAGGAAUAAGCAUCGGCUAACUCCGUGCCAGCAGCCGCGGUAAUACGGAGGAUGCAAGCGUUAUCCGGAAUGAUUGGGCGUAAAGGGUCUGCAGGUGGAACUGAAAGUCUGCUGUUAAAGAGUUUGGCUUAACCAAAUAAAAGCGGUGGAAACUACAGAACUAGAGUGCGGUAGGGGCAAAAGGAAUUCCUGGUGUAGCGGUGAAAUGCGUAGAUAUCAGGAAGAACACCGGUGGCGAAAGCGUUUUGCUAGACCGUAACUGACACUGAGGGACGAAAGCUAGGGGAGCGAAUGGGAUUAGAUACCCCAGUAGUCCUAGCCGUAAACGAUGGAUACUAGGCGUGGCUUGUAUCGACCCGAGCCGUGCCGGAGCUAACGCGUUAAGUAUCCCGCCUGGGGAGUACGCACGCAAGUGUGAAACUCAAAGGAAUUGACGGGGGCCCGCACAAGCGGUGGAGUAUGUGGUUUAAUUCGAUGCAACGCGAAGAACCUUACCAAGACUUGACAUCCUGCGAAUCCCAGUGAAAGCUGGGAGUGCCUUAGGGAGCGCAGAGACAGGUGGUGCAUGGCUGUCGUCAGCUCGUGUCGUGAGAUGUUGGGUUAAGUCCCGCAACGAGCGCAACCCUCGUUUUUAGUUGCCAGCAUUAAGUUGGGCACUCUAGAGAGACUGCCGGUGACAAACCGGAGGAAGGUGAGGAUGACGUCAAGUCAGCAUGCCCCUUACGUCUUGGGCUACACACGUACUACAAUGCUACGGACAGAGGGCAGCGAGCCAGGGAUGGCAAGCGAAUCCAGAAACCGUAGCUCAGUUCAGAUCGAAGGCUGCAACUCGCCUUCGUGAAGGAGGAAUC